rnacentral:rRNA from 1 species
CCUCGGGAGGCAGCAGUGGGGAAUAUUGGACAAUGGGGGAAACCCUGAUCCAGCAAUGCCGCGUGAGUGAUGAAGGCCUUAGGGUUGUAAAGCUCUUUCAGAAGUGAAGAUGAUGACGGUAACUUCAGAAGAAGCUCCGGCUAACUCCGUGCCAGCAGCCGCGGUAAUACGGAGGGAGCUAGCGUUGUUCGGAAUUACUGGGCGUAAAGAGCGUGUAGGCUGUUAUUUAAGUCAGAGGUGAAAUCCCUAAGCUCAACUUAGGAACUGCCUUUGAUACUAUUUAACUAGAGAUCGAGAGAAGUUAGCGGAAUUCCAAGUGUAGAGGUGAAAUUCGUAGAUAUUUGGAAGAACACCAGUGGCGAAAGCGGCUAACUGGCUCGAUUCUGACGCUGAGACGCGAAAGCGUGGGUAGCAAACAGGAUUAGAUACCCUGGUAGUCCACGCUGUAAACGAUGAGUGCUAGCCGUUUGCGAUUAUUCGCAAGUGGUGCAGUUAACACGUUAAGCACUCCGCCUGGGGAGUACGAUCGCAAGAUUAAAACUCAAAGGAAUUGACGG